UGUAGCUGUAGCUGUAUGCUGGAAUUAGGCUAACGCUGACCCUUGCGGGUUUUUCCCCAACGAAUUUACAUUCUCCCCGCGAAUCGAGCUUCC